ensembl:lncRNA novel transcript
ACAUCUUGUAGUAGGGAUUGAAGAGAGACCAGCUUCAUCUCCACUCGACCAACAUGAUGCAGGUUUUCUACUGGAAUGCCGAGUUAUUUCAGGACAAGGGGGAAGAGCUACAGGCCAGUCAACAACACCAGCUGCCCAUCCCAGCAGGAUCACUCUAAGGCAUCCCCUUUACCAUGCAUCACUUGGGGCUGGGCUGAAGAGGUGAUUCCAGCUCCAGUGAAUAAGUACAAGCUAAGAACAAGUGACAGCACUGAACAGAAAGCAAGCCAAAAAGGGUCUUUAGCUGCUUUGCUCAGAACUGGAAUCCUUGUGCAUUUGCUGUCUGGAGAACUGAGUAACGAAAAUGCUGGGGCUGGGCCCAAGCCUGAUAUUCAAGCAGACCUUGAUAAAGCGCUCUGAGAAAUUGCCUUGCUUCAGGCUGGGUCCCUGCCAUGUGACAAUGGACACAGCGCUGAAGAACCAACUAUGAACAAGACAAAAGAUUGCUGCCCUCAUGGAACUUUCUGUCCAGAUGGAGAGACAGACAAUUAAACAGGACUGGAGCCCUUAUAAGAAGAUGGAGAGACACCAGAGAAAUGAAGACACGGCAAGAAGGUGGCCACCUGCAAGCCAAGGAGAGAGGCCUCACCAGAAGCCCUGUUGGCACCUUGAUCUCGAACUUCCAGUCUCCAGAACUGUGAGACAAUAAAUCUAUGUUGUUUAAAAUACUUACCCUAAGGUAUUCUGUUAUGACAGCCCUAGCAGACUAAUAUACCCCCAAAUGGAAUAAUAAUAAUAAUGAUAUACAGAGAUGAUUAUGCAUCAAGCAAA